AACGAACGCUGGCGGCGCGCCUAACACAUGCAAGUCGAACGAGAAGGCGUAGCAAUACGCUUGUAGAGUGGCGAACGGGUGAGUAAUACGUGGGUGACCUACCCUCGAGUGGGGAAUAACCCGCCGAAAGGCGGGCUAAUGCCGCGUACGCUUCCGUCCUCACGGGGACGGAAGGAAAGCUGUACCGUGGGUACGGCGCUCAAGGAUGGGCUCACGUCCUAUCAGCUUGUUGGUAGGGUAACGGCCACCAAGGCUACGACGGGUAGCUGGUCUGAGAGGACGAUCAGCCACACUGGCACUGACACACGGGCCAGACUCCUACGGGAGGCAGCAGUGGGGAAUUUUGGGCAAUGGGCGCAAGCCUGACCCAGCAACGCCGCGUGAGGGAGGAAAUCCUUCGGGAUGUAAACCUCACAAGCAAGGGAAGAGAGCUCAGGACCAAAUAAGUCCUGAGUCCGACGGUACCUUGCGUAAGCCACGGCUAACUACGUGCCAGCCGCCGCGGUAAC
rnacentral:rRNA from 1 species